rnacentral:rRNA from 1 species
AUUGCCUCAGUAACGGCGAGUGAAGCGGCAACAGCUCAAAUUUGAAAUCUGGCCCCAGGCCCGAGUUGUAAUUUGCAGAGGAUGCUUUUGGCGCGGUGCCUUCCGAGUUCCCUGGAACGGGACGCCAUAGAGGGUGAGAGCCCCGUCUGGUUGGACACCAAGCCUUUGUAAAGCUCCUUCGACGAGUCGAGUAGUUUGGGAAUGCUGCUCUAAAUGGGAGGUACAUGUCUUCUAAAGCUAAAUACCGGCCAGAGACCGAUAGCGCACAAGUAGAGUGAUCGAAAGAUGAAAAGCACUUUGGAAAGAGAGUUAAACAGCACGUGAAAUUGUUAAAAGGGAAGCGUUUAUGACCAGACGUGGGCCGGUUAAUCAUCCAGCGUUCUCGCUGGUGCACUUUGCCGGUCCAGGCCAGCAUCAGUUCGCUGCGGGGGAUAAAGGCUUUGGGAAUGUAGCUCCUCGGAGUGUUAUAGCCCUUUGCGUAAUACCCUGCGGCGGACUGAGGUUCGCGCUCUGCAAGGAUGCUGGCGUAAUGGUCAUCAACGACCCGUCUUGAAACACGGACCAAGGAGUCGUCUUCGUAUGCGAGUGUUCGGGUGUAAAACCCCUACGCGAAAUGAAAGUGAACGCAGGUGAGAGCUUCGGCGCAUCAUCGACCGAUCCUGAUGUUCUCGGAUGGAUUUGAGUAAGAGCAUACGGGGCCGGACCCGAAAGAAGGUGAACUAUGCCUGUAUAGGGUGAAGCCAGAGGAAACUCUGGUGGAGGCUCGCAGCGGUUCUGACGUGCAAAUCGAUCGUCAAAUAUGGGCAUGGGGGCGAAAGACUAAU